AUGACGUCAAGUCCUCAUGGCCCUUAUGGGUAGGGCUUCACACGUCAUACAAUGGUCGGUACAGAGGGUUGCCAAGCCGCGAGGUGGAGCCAAUCCCAGAAAGCCGAUCGUAGUCCGGAUUGUUCUCUGCAACUCGAGAGCAUGAAGUCGGAAUCGCUAGUAAUCGCGGAUCAGCAUGUCGCGGUGAAUACGUUCCCGGGUCUU
rnacentral:rRNA from 1 species